GUCCACGCCCUAAACGAUGUCAACUAGUUGUUCGGUGAGGAGACUCAUUGAGUAACGCAGCUAACGCGUGAAGUUGACCGCCUGGGGAGUACGGCCGCAAGGUUAAAACUCAAAGGAAUUGACGGGGACCCGCACAAGCGGUGGAUGAUGUGGAUUAAUUCGAUGCAACGCGAAAAACCUUACCUACCCUUGACAUGUCAGGAAUCCUUGAGAGAUUGAGGAGUGCCCGAAAGGGAGCCUGAACACAGGUGCUGCAUGGCUGUCGU
rnacentral:rRNA from 1 species